CGACCAAGCUACACCCCAAGUGAAUGCGCCUAUUUUAACGCUAUGAAAUUCUUAAUCAAAGCUUUUUCUUUCCAACAGGAGGGCAAAGCGAAAUCGCUCAAGAUAACCAUUUACAGCGGGAAUGCAGCUCCAAUCACGAUUCAUUUGCCGAAAAAAAUGCGGAGAAAAUACAUCGUCAAAUGUUGCGGAUUUAAAACGUGUCUGCCACCACCAGUUAACGCCACAACUAAAAUAACUUCUACAACCGCACCCAAGCGCAAAAGCGAACCCGUAAAGGUACUAACGAUUCGAGCGACCGUUUCGACAGGAAGCGAGCCUGAUGAGUCGAAAAUUAUUGACGUCAGCACUUUACCUG